rnacentral:tRNA from 1 species
CAUUAAGUGGCUGAAAACUUUAAGCAUUGGUCUCUUAAACCAAACAAUAGUAAUUUAAACCUACUCUUAAUGG